GGAGAGGUGGCUGAGUGGUUGAAAGCAACGAUUUGCUAAAUCGUCACUUAUUAUUAAAUAUAUCAUAAGUCAUGGGUUCAAAUCCCAUUCUUUCCA
rnacentral:tRNA from 1 species